rnacentral:rRNA from 1 species
AAAAACAUUUCCUCUUGGUAUAAGAGGUAAGGCCUGCUCACUGACUAGGUUGAAGAGCCGCAGUAUAUUGACUGUGCUAAGGUAGCAUAAUCAUUAGUCCUUUAAUUGGGGACUGGUAUGAAUGGCUAAACGAGAAAUUAGCUUUUUUUGUUAUGGUUUGUUGAAUUUAACUUGUAAGUGAAAAGGCUUACAUGAUUCAGAAAGACGAGAAGACCCUAUAGAGUUUUACAAAGGCCUAAAAUACAGCUUAUUAGUUUUUAAGGGUUAUAUUUUGGAAAUUUGUUUGGUUGGGGCGACAUAAAGAUAAAAAAAACUCUUUGUAGUAUAAACUUUGGUGGAAGAAAAGGUUUGAUCCUCUAAAAGGGAUUAUAAGAAAAAAUUACCUUAGGGAUAACAGCGUAAUCUUCUUUUAGAGUUCAAAUCGACAAGAAGGUUUGCGACCUCGAUGUUGGACUAAAAUUUGGGCAAGGUGCAGCAGCUUUGUUUUUGGGUCUGUUCGACCCGUAAUAUUUUACGUGAUCUGAGUU